AACAUACAGUCACGGAAAAAAUUAUUAGACCACCGUUGUUUUCUUCAAUUUUGUGUUCAUUUUAAUGCCUGGUGCAACUCAAGGUACAUUUGUUAGGCUAAAUCUAAUAAUAACAG